rnacentral:lncRNA from 1 species
UUGGAUGUUGGUAUUGAGGUGAAGGAAUUGCAUUGGGGUAGGAAUACCAAAUCUGAGUGGAAAUGGAAAUGGCGUGCAAUGCCAAUGUUGUUGUUUGGAUGUGUAUGUAAUUGGUAGUUAGAAUCAAAGGGUAGCAGCCAAUUCCAAUUCUUGUUUGGAUGUACAAACUGCUGAAUUUUAUGUUUUGAAGAGUCUAGACAGUACAUAACAUUGUACAUGUAUGAGAAUGUAGUCUCCAUAAAUUGUGGAUAUAUUGGAAGUAUUAUAUAUCACUUUCACCAUAUAAAAAUAGGAAAAUUUUAUUAAAAAUGAUCAAAAUAGCUGGAGAUGUAUUAAAAAGUGACAAAAAAAAUGAAAGCACAUGAACAUAGCAGCCAUUAUAUAGCAAAUAAUAUGAGAUCAGUAGCUUCUAAGUACCCAUAGAAGAUUACAACAUACU